rnacentral:lncRNA from 1 species
AGCAUGCUGUCCUCCCGUGUAAAGUGGGUAUGAUGCUCCUGUUUGCUGAAAAGGUCAUAAAUUAAACAAGGGGCAAAGGAGUGUAAGAGUGGAAAGUAAGCACCCAUGUGCGCUUCCUUCCUCAAGAAGGUCACCAUACAUAAAUUAUACAGAAUGCACACAAAUGUCCCAUAAAGUCUGGGAACAGUUUGCCUCCCUGCUGAAAAACAACAUGUGAGAAGAAACUGCUCUCUUUCUACUUCAGCUGUUGGAGGAUUUUCUGCUUAGAAUUUUGAUCAUGAGAAGGGCUGAGGACAAAAGCCAACUCCAGACAAGAUGGAGCAAAAGGAAGGAAAGAAUGUGAUAGCAUCAUUCCGAUCGGAAUUAAUCAACUCUGGACCGCCUACCUCUGGACUUCUUGGUAUGGAGAUAGUUUUAUGUGUCAAGAUCUGGCCUGGCUUAGCUGUGUGUCUGUGGCUCAAGGUCUCUCAAGAAGCUGCCAGUCAAUCUGUUGGCUGGGACCAUGGUCUCAUCUGAAGACUCAUCUCAGUGGGGACUGGGGAGGACAUCCACUUCCAAUCUUACUCACAUGGUUUUGGCACCACUUGGACCUUUCCGCAGGGC